ACUCUAAGCGGUGGAUCACUCGGCUCAUGGGUCGAUGAAGAACGCAGCAAACUGUGCGUCAUCGUGUGAACUGCAGGACACAUGAACAUCGACAUUUUGAACGCAUAUCGCAGUCCAUGCUGUUAUGUACUUUAAUUAAUUUUAUAGUGCUGCUUGGACUACAUAUGGUUGAGGGUUGUAAGACUAUGCUAAUUAAGUUGCUUAUAAAUUUUUAUAAGCAUAUGGUAUAUUAUUGGAUAAAUAUAAUAAUUUUUAUUCAUAAUAUUAAAAAAUAAAUGAAAAACAUUAUCUCACAUUUGAAUGUGAAAAACGAAGAGAAAUAUUUUCUUUUUCAAUCAAAUAAUACUGAGAAAUGUCUAGCAUAAAAAAUUGAAAUAUUUUUCAUCUAGAAUUGUCUCUUAUUAAUGAUUCGGAAAUAGAAAAAUCUUGGUUAUGUUAUUAUUCUUCGUUGGUUCGUUAAAAAUGGAUAAAUAAAAACUUUGCAUACAAGAAUUAAUAAAAAUGUUAUAACGAAUUUAAUUAAAUGUUUUAUCAUUAUAUAUAAAGAAUUUAUGGCAAGAUAAAGUUAUAUACAACCUCAACUCAUAUGGGACUACCCCCUGAAUUUAAGCAUAUUAAUUAGGGGAGGAAAAGAAACUAACAAGGAUUUUCUUAGUAGCGGCGAGCGAAAAGAAAACAGUUCAGCACUAAGUCACUUUGUCUAUAUGGCAAAUGUGAGAUGCAGUGUAUGGAGCGUCAAUAUUCUAGUAUGAGAAAUUAACGAUUUAAGUCCUUCUUAAAUGAGGCCAUUUACCCAUAGAGGGUGCCAGGCCCGUAUAACGUUAAUGAUUACUAGAUGAUGUUUCCAAAGAGUCGUGUUGCUUGAUAGUGCAGCACUAAGUGGGUGGUAAACUCCAUCUAAAACUAAAUAUAACCAUGAGACCGAUAGUAAACAAGUACCGUGAGGGAAAGUUGAAAAGAACUCUGAAUAGAGAGUUAAACAGUACGUGAAACUGCUUAGAGGUUAAGCCCGAUGAACCUGAAUAUCCGUUAUGGAAAAUUCAUCAUUAAAAUUGUAAUAUUUAAAUAAUAUUAUGAGAAUAGUGUGCAUUUUUUCCAUAUAAGGACAUUGUAAUCUAUUAGCAUAUACCAAAUUUAUCAUAAAAUAUAACUUAUAGUUUAUUCCAAUUAAAUUGCUUGCAUUUUAACACAGAAUAAAUGUUAUUAAUUUGAUAAAGUGCUGAUAGAUUUAUAUGAUUACAGUGCGUUAAUUUUUCGGAAUUAUAUAAUGGCAUAAUUAUCAUUGAUUUUUGUGUUUAUUAUAUGCACUUGUAUGAUUAACAAUGCGAAAGAUUCAGGAUACCUUCGGGACCCGUCUUGAAACACGGACCAAGGAGUCUAACAUAUGUGCAAGUUAUUGGGAUAUAAACCUAAUAGCGUAAUUAACUUGACUAAUAAUGGGAUUAGUUUUUUAGCUAUUUAUAGCUAAUUAACACAAUCCCGGGGCGUUCUAUAUAGUUAUGUAUAAUGUAUAUUUAUAUUAUUUAUGCCUCUAACUGGAACGUACCUUGAGCAUAUAUGCUGUGACCCGAAAGAUGGUGAACUAUACUUGAUCAGGUUGAAGUCAGGGGAAACCCUGAUGGAAGACCGAAACAGUUCUGACGUGCAAAUCGAUUGUCAGAAUUGAGUAUAGGGGCGAAAGACCAAUCGAACCAUCUAGUAGCUGGUUCCUUCCGAAGUUUCCCUCAGGAUAGCUGGUGCAUUUUAAUAUUAUAUAAAAUAAUCUUAUCUGGUAAAGCGAAUGAUUAGAGGCCUUAGGGUCGAAACGAUCUUAACCUAUUCUCAAACUUUAAAUGGGUAAGAACCUUAACUUUCUUGAUAUGAAGUUCAAGGUUAUGAUAUAAUGUGCCCAGUGGGCCACUUUUGGUAAGCAGAACUGGCGCUGUGGGAUGAACCAAACGUAAUGUUACGGUGCCCAAAUUAACAACUCAUGCAGAUACCAUGAAAGGCGUUGGUUGCUUAAAACAGCAGGACGGUGAUCAUGGAAGUCGAAAUCCGCUAAGGAGUGUGUAACAACUCACCUGCCGAAGCAACUAGCCCUUAAAAUGGAUGGCGCUUAAGUUGUAUACCUAUACAUUACCGCUAAAGUAGAUGAUUUAUAUUACUUGUGAUAUAAAUUUUGAAACUUUAGUGAGUAGGAAGGUACAAUGGUAUGCGUAGAAGUGUUUGGCGUAAGCCUGCAUGGAGCUGCCAUUGGUACAGAUCUUGGUGGUAGUAGCAAAUAAUCGAAUGAGACCUUGGAGGACUGAAGUGGAGAAGGGUUUCGUGUGAACAGUGGUUGAUCACGAGUUAGUCGGUCCUAAGUUCAAGGCGAAAGCCGAAAAUUUUCAAGUAAAACAAAAAUGCCUAACUAUAUAAACAAAGCGAAUUAUAAUACACUUGAAUAAUUUUGAACGAAAGGGAAUACGGUUCCAAUUCCGUAACCUGUUGAGUAUCCGUUUGUUAUUAAAUAUGGGCCUCGUGCUCAUCCUGGCAACAGGAACGACCAUAAAGAAGCCGUCGAGAGAUAUCGGAAGAGUUUUCUUUUCUGUUUUAUAGCCGUACUACCAUGGAAGUCUUUCGCAGAGAGAUAUGGUAGAUGGGCCUAGAAGAGCAUGACAUAUACUGUUGUGUCGAUAUUUUCUCCUCGGACCUUGAAAAUUUAUGGUGGGGACACGCAAACUUCUCAACAGGCCGUACCAAUAUCCGCAGCUGGUCUCCAAGGUGAAGAGUCUCUAGUCGAUAGAAUAAUGUAGGUAAGGGAAGUCGGCAAAUUAGAUCCGUAACUUCGGGGAUAAGGAUUGGCUCUGAAGAUUGAGAUAGUCGGGCUUGAUUGGGAAACAAUAACAUGGUUUAUGUGCUCGUUCUGGGUAAAUAGAGUUUCUAGCAUUUAUGUUAGUUACUUGUUCCCCGGAUAGUUUAGUUACGUAGCCAAUUGUGGAACUUUCUUGCUAAAAUUUUUAAGAAUACUAUUUGGGUUAAACCAAUUAGUUCUUAUUAAUUAUAACGAAUUAAUCAAUUAAACCAAUCCAAUUCAAGAACUGUGCACGGGACUUGGGGGGAAUCCGCACUGUCUUAAUUUUAAAAUACCAACAGCAUUGUGGAGUGGCCCCCUAGCGGGUUGUUUUGACACAAUUGUGAUUUCUGGCCCCCAGUGGCUCUGAAAAUGGUCCAAAAGUGAAGAGAAUUGCAAGUAAAGCGCGGCCCCGGUUGCAACGGGCGGUCAACUAUGACUUCUCGUUUCAAUGGAUGCAAGACGCUGAUGAAAACGUGACCGUCGAUAUGCAAUUGAGUGAUGAGAGAAGUGGAUGUGGCGGAGGAGUCCACGAUGGAUGUCCUCGCCUCGGGAAUUGCAGCGUCGAAGAAUCGCUAAGACACGAUUAUAGGGAAUAGCUAGACAUCAGCCGCCCGAAUGAAUAAAAAGGCGCCGCCCUAGUAGAAGUGA
rnacentral:rRNA from 1 species